UAAUGUAUGGGGAUCUGCCCGAUAGAGGGGGAUAACUACUGGAAACGGUGGCUAAUACCGCAUAAUGUCUACGGACCAAAGCAGGGGCUCUUCGGACCUUGCACUAUCGGAUGAACCCAUAUGGGAGUAGCUAGUAGGUGGGGUAAAGGCUCACCUAGGCGACGAUCUCUAGCUGGUCUGAGAGGAUGAUCAGCCACACUGGGACUGAGACACGGCCCAG
rnacentral:rRNA from 1 species